rnacentral:tRNA from 1 species
UCCCACGUGGUCUAGUGGCUACGACCUGGCGCUCUCACCGCUAUGACCCGGGUUCGAUUCCCGGCGUGGGAA